GGACGAGUGGUGGAUCGGACGAGGACGGUGUGUCGGCGUUGUUCUACAGUGGUGCGGGACAGCUGCUGAGAGCAAGGAGCAACACCAGCUGCCUGACCUCACUCGGCUCUGACCUCUGACCCCCCCCCCCGCCCCAUGGAGGGAGAAAGAGGGUCGACCGAUUUAACACCUACACAAGCAUGCCCAAAAUCUGAUAGUUGGAUAUAUGUGACUUCCUUCAUCUGAGCUCAAGCAGAGGUAAGGGAAGCGCCACAUGUUGCCCAGGCCGAUGAUGGAGCCGGCGACCGACAGAAUAAACUCCAUCUUGUUGUCCCACUGGCCCCGCUCCUCCAUCUUUUCCUCCGAUGGGGCCUUCUGGACUUUGGCCAUGGUGCCAUUGGGGAUGCCCGCUUUGGCAGCGUCUCCUACAAACCGGACAAAGAGAAGAGGAUGCAGCAGCUUUAAAGGCACGUCGGGUUGUUUUCAACAGUCAAUAUGCCAUGAAGCAAGGCACUAAGGACAGCAAACAGUUCCAACUGCAGGGUGGGCUACAUUAGAAUAAUGUCGUUUUUAUUGAACAUCGAUAAGAAGGAUGGUAUAAGCAUGCACGUGGAGUCCUUUUCACUUAAAACCUUGUCUAUUAGUAAGCACGAUAUGAUUGGAUAGUGUAGCUUCUAGUUAACCAGCUUUGUAAAUCCCUGUCAAAAGUUUAGACAAUUUCACGAUGUUGUUUUAAAUGCUCACUUUUUCUUAUGGUUUACUAAUAAUGUUUGUAUAUUUCCGUUUAUAUUUUCAAUUCUUUCAGUUUUUAUUGUACUUUUUUUUGUAUUUAUAGUUUUUUUUUCUAUUCUAUACAUUUGUGUAAUUUCUGUUGCCGGAAAAACAUAAUGAUGGUUAAAAAAAAGUAUUAUAUUAAUCUUGCAAAUGUGAUAUUUAACUGAAAACACACACAAAUGUGACACAUUAUGAGCUUUUUUAUAAACAAUUUUCUGUUUUAAAUUGCAA